AAGGCGAGGCCGAAAGGCGUAGUCGAUGGGAAACGGGUUAAUAUUCCCGUACUUGGUGUUACUGCGAAGGGGGGACGGAGAAGGCUAUGUUGGCCGGGCGACGGUUGUCCCGGUUUAAGCGUGUAGGCUGGUUUUCCAGGCAAAUCCGGAAAAUCAAGGCUGAGGCGUGACGACGAGGCACUACGGUGCUGAAGCAACAAAUGCCCUGCUUCCAGGAAAAGCCUCUAAGCAUCAGGUAACACGAAAUCGUACCCCAAACCGACACAGGUGGUCAGGUAGAGAAUAC
rnacentral:rRNA from 3 species